rnacentral:hammerhead_ribozyme from 1 species
AUCCAGUUGACGAGUCUCAAAUAGGACGAAACAGGCGUCGUGGAU